rnacentral:rRNA from 1 species
AAUCAACGCUGGCGGCGUGCCUCAGACAUGCAAGUCGAACGCGAAAGGCUCCUUCGGGAGCCCGGUAGAGUGGCGCACGGGUGAGUAACACGUAGGUAAUUUGCCUUCGGGUGGGGAAUAACUCAGGGAAACUUGAGCUAAUACCGCAUAAUGCAGCGGCUCGACAUCGAGACAGUUGUUAAAGCGGGGGAUCACAAGACCUCGCGCCUGAAGAGAAGCCUGCGGCAGAUUAGCUAGUUGGUAGGGUAAUGGCCUACCAAGGCGACGAUCUGUAACCGGCCUGAGAGGGCGGUCGGUCACACUGACACUGACAUACGGGUCAGACUCCUACGGGAGGCAGCAGUCGGGAAUUUUGGGCAAUGGGCGCAAGCCUGACCCAGCAACGCCGCGUGAAGGAU